GUUCCUAUGCCAGUGGCUGCGUCAUAGAUCCUGGCCUUUGUCAGGCAGUGCCCAUGGCCUCCCUGUACCAGACAGCACCUCUGGAUGAGAGCCCUGAUGGAUGGUGUCUUCAUACACAGUGCCUGCUGCCUCCUGCUGCAGUUAAGAAACCAGCAAGCACAGGAUUGCAGGAAGAAAUGAGGAAUCAAAAGAUAAAGGUGACCGUUCACGCCAGACCUGAGAGAAGCUCACGACAACUGAUGCGCCAUCCCCACCCUCAUGUAGAGGCAAGGUCUUAUGUCCCAGGCCUGACUCAGAGCUGCUGUGGAGCUGAAGGUGACCUUGACCAUCUUUCUGAUCCGGUUUCCUCCACCCCAUGAGCACGAGGAUUACAGACUGAAGACAGCCAGCCUCUGCCUGUCCCCUGCACCCUCACUACACUCUGCACACUCCCCAGGGCAAGCAUUCAUAUCCUGUGGACCUAGUAAAAGGUAACUUGAUCCCAAAAUGCACUUCGUGUAGAGCACAGGCCUUGUCCUUUGACUUGCAA